AAAAAUGCUGAUAUUCGGUUGUCAGCACUCCUAGGAGGCUAGAAUCAAUAAUUCCUAUAGGCGGUUUGACAAAGAUUUUACGCCAAAACUAUCUUUAAGGCAGUCCAUAUAAAACAUCAUCACUUAAUUGGUUAUACUUUUUAGAAGAAAUAUCCAUUAGGAGUCCGGAUAUUAGAGCUUCACUUAUUAAGUCCCGACAUAUUUCGAAUAAUCCUUUUUUGAGGAUAGGAUCAUCUAUACAAAUCCAUUGAGAGCAAAUUAGUCCUCUUUCUA